AUAAAGUAGCUAUGCCCACUGUUAACAGGUGGAGUCAACUGGGGUUCCACACCUGACCAAUCGCAGAGCUCAGAAUCUGGCCACCAAAUUUGUGACAGCAAUGUCUGUCCCCAAUGGAUGAUAUAAUCUUUAGGCAGCUGUUUGCAACCUCAAGACCACAAGGAAGGCAGAAGUGCUUUUCACAGAAAAGAAAGUGAAAGAAAAGGCACACGCCGGUUGGGUGGGUCCGGGGCGGUGACAGUGGACCGGCGAAGCUGGGGAGAGCUGCGCCGUGCUUCUCUGGGCCCGGACACGCGAAGAACUUGUGCACCAACUUGUGGCUGUGCGAACAGAACCCAAGCGAUCGGGAGGCCGGGAAGCCGAGGUCGGCCGGGAGCCCGGCAGCCCGACCCGCUUCCUGGCCCCCUUCCUCCGGGAGAAUGUCAAGAGACCAAGCCAGCUGGAAAAAUGAUCUUUCCAACAGACAUGUGAUAGCCUCAACCCAAACCAAAGAAGGUCUAAAGCUUGUGAUGAUAAGUGGAGAUGUUAUUUAUUUCCAGAAUUCUGUGGUUUCCACCAUUUUGACACUUGAUAUUUACCAGAUGGCAUACACUCAAGAUUAAUGAAAGGAGAAUUCUUCUGAGAAAUUUGGAGACUCAUGGAUUAUAAGCCACUGGAAAUAUUCUUUGCUUUUGCUGCAAAAUGAGACAGCAGCAGGGAGGCAGCCAGCCAGUUUCUUCAUGCUCUCUAGAGUACCUAGAGUCCUUCUCUUUGUCACAUGGUUUCAGGACCUUCACUCAGAGCUUCAAGGUGAAAAUUUGAAUCUUAUAAUUUUACCCAGAAAGGUGGCACUAAUCAAGUUCAGAAGACUUAUUUAUAAAACUGGAAUUAUAAUUAUUUAAUUUGCAAAGAGGAAGCUAAUUGCCAUGGCUGUGGGUAAUAGAGAGCUCUGUAGCUGCCUAUUAUGAGAUUGUUUGGUGAGCAUACUCAGACCAGAAAACAACUGGCUCAUGUAAAAGUAUAGGAAGUUUCUUUUUCACUCUAGAAGGCAUAGUGUAGUGGUUAUGCAGACCAACUCCAAAGUUAGUCCUGGCAGGGUUCAAAUCCCACUUUACCACUGACCAGCCAUUGAUCUUGGUCAACAUUCCCCCUUAUGUCUCAGUGUCCUUACCUGUAAUUAUGGAUGAUGACAAUAUUAGGGUUCCUGUGCGGUGGGUCAAGUAAAAUAAUCCACACAAAGCACUUAGCACCUUCUUGGCACAUAGUGAAGACUCAAAAAAUGAUAGCUAUCAUCAUUAUCCACUUAGGACAGACCACUUGAAAGUUUACCUCACCCAAUCAGUGCUACAAUCUGAGACAGAUAUUACAUACCCUCAUCUUAUAAAUGAGGAAACUGAGAUCUUUUCACGGCAUAGUCUGUUGAUAAACUCUCACCAACCCUGUCAGGAUACCUAUUCUCAUGGUUGGAUGGCGCCAUAUAAACUUUGGAGCCCUUUAAAUCUUUCUUCUCUGAGUUCCUUUCCCUAUCCAACUGGUUUCCCAGCCUCCUUGCACACUGUCUCUUGUACAUGCCCUUUCCUUUUCAUUCCCACAGUCAACUCGUCUUUCAGCACUCCCAGUCACCCCUCUCACCCUCCUGUCUGUUCUCUCCAUAGCUAUUUGAUGCAUAUUUAUCAGGUGCUCCCUACUGCCUGCAGCAUAAAGCCCAAAAAAGUGUGAGCUUACAAAGUCUUACAUCAUCUGGCCCCAAAUCUCUUUCCAGCCCUGUCUCUUAUCAUUAAUACUCUCUGUUCGCUAAAUUGGACUGCUUUCUGACCUUUUGCAAUUCUGUGUGUUUUCUUAAAUAUUUACCCACCUAGAAUGCUUACUGCCUUCUUUUCCCCUAUCCCAGAUUCAUCCCUUAUCCUCUUUGUAAAGACUCUACUAACCAGUCCAGUCUAAAGGAUUCCUGCUUUUUUUUGAAAUGCUAUAGCAAUUACUAAUUGUAUUUUUAACACAGUUUCUUUUGAUUAUCUUGAACGAUAUAAACAUUAAGACUAUUUUGCUGUUUUACAUGUUAAUAUAUUGCUUCCCCAAACUGUGUAGGAAUCAGUAAGCAGGGAGCAGGGUGAAAAUGGGCUGAAUCUUGUUUUUUUGGAAAGCUUACUGACUUUUUUUUUUUAGUUUAUUUAUUUAUUUUGAGAGAGAGAGAGAGGCAGAGAGAGAGGGAGAGAGGGAAACCCAAGCAGUGCAGAGCCCAAUGUAGGGCUCAAUCCCAUGACUGUAAGACCAUGACCUGAGCUGAAAUCAAGAGUCAGAUGCUUAACCAACUGCCCUGUGGAAGGCUCACUGACUUUUCCCUGCAGGAAUCUUCUCAGGUCCUGAGAUUAGUUUAUGUUAACUAACCUCAUACAAGACUGAGGUGGACCCAUGAUAGUGAGAAAUGUAACUGUUAUGUGGCCCAAAGACAUAUACACCUUUUAAUUUACAAUGAAGAGCUCCCAAGGAACCAGACUACUCAAAAUCCACAUGAGCAAAGCAUUCUGCCCUCUAAAUUUGAAUACAAAAUAGGAGUAAAUAGAAUUGGAUGAAUUGAAUAUUUAACAUCUGUUGGCAUCAGGUCAUGACCCCAUCUCACCAAGGGGAUGGCCUCAGCAAGCUUUGGAGAUCCCCAUACCCCUAGAAUGGCUUGAGUGGACACUGCCUACCUUCACUUCAAUGACCUUCCUUUGUUUAGGGCUUUGUUAGACCUUUUUUAGGCCUUUGUUAGACCAGAAUCUGCACCCCCUUCCUGCCCCCGCCCUUCAGAUGGACCCAUUCUUUCUUUAGGUAUGUUAAUCAAGUCAGAACAAUUACUCUCAGUUCCUGCGAGCCUAAAAGAUACUCUUUCUUCCUCAGUGGUCUCUUUCAGAGUUCUGUUUUUGUUUCCAUCUGUCUAGCUAUCUUUCUGUUUCCGCUUCUACCUUUCAUUCUGACUCUCCCUUCUGUUUGCUCAUUUUCGUAGCCCUACUCUGACUCAUCAUAUGUUAACUUAACAGUAGUGGGUGAUAUAUUUCCUUAAUUUCUAAGUUUUGGGGCUCACCCCAUUACAAUAUCUAAGUACUAACAACAGAUUGUAAGCUCCUUGAGGGUAGGGCUGGGAGGUCAGUAUGAUAGACAAACGUAUCUUGUGCAUUACCUCAUAAUACUUGGCAAGUCAUAGGUGCUUAAUAACUAUGGAUUGGAACUCUAACAAACAUGUUGCUGUUUU